rnacentral:lncRNA from 1 species
AGACGGAGAGGCGGCGAAAGGAGAAUGUGGGUUCAUCGGCGAAGGAGGAGGCGAUAGGGAGGGGGCCACGAGGAGGAGGUGGCAGAGGAAGAGGUGGCGCGUCUUCGAGAAAAAAAUAACGAAAGAAAAAAAAAGAAGAGAGAGAAAAUGAAUAAGGAUAUUUUCGUCCGAUGGUAAAAAAUUCGGCCUAAAUCUGUAAAAUUAAAAAAAGUGACCAAGUUUUAUAAAAGUUUAAAAUUUGUGAAUAUUUUAUAUAAAUUG